UACGUAGGGGGCAAGCGUUGUCCGGAAUCAUUGGGCGUAAAGAGCGUGUAGGCGGCCCGGUAAGUCCGCUGUGAAAGUCGAGGGCUCAACCCUCGAAUGCCGGCGGAUACUGUCGGGCUAGAGUCCGGAAGAGGCGAGUGGAAUUCCUGGUGUAGCGGUGAAAUGCGCAGAUAUCGGGAGGAACAUCAGUGGCGAAGGCGGCUAUCUGGACUAACACUGACACUGAGGCACGAAAGCGUGGGGAGCAAACAGG
rnacentral:rRNA from 1 species